AUCAAAUGAGAAGCAACAGACCAACCAUGGCCUGAAGCUCGAGGAAGAAGGUGAUGAGGUGUCGGAUGAUGAAGACAAUAAAUUGAGUGACCAAGUUGUCAAUGAGUGAAAGUUGAGUGAUCAAUGUGUAACGCGAGUUGAGUGUUUUAAAUAAAACUGUGUCGUUUUGUUUUGGUAAGACGGAUGAUUGCCACGUGUCGCAGUCAUUCCUCUAUUCUUACCGUUUAAUUAGUUACCCUACAGUAAAACUGGAAGUUGAGUGUAUAAGUUGAGAAAUGAAGAAAUGAAAGAACUCAAUCAUUCCAGCAAACAUUUCAACAUUUCUUCGUCCUUCUUCUCUCCCUCUCUCUCAAUCGAGCUCAUCUGAAAUGGUAUCAGAGCCUCCGAUCGAGACUUAAAUAUUGCUGAAAUGGUCGUUACUCCUAGAAGUUCUACUCCGAUUGUCUUUGGAUCUGUCCAGGAUAAUGAAGAUGAUGAUGGGGACAAUGAAAAUCUGCAGCAGCACCAUCACAACUCCGGAGGUAACUCGAAUGCUCCUCCACCUCCACUUGGUUUUUGUAGUCCAUUCUACCUAAACCCGAAUGAGAACCUUGCUCAAUCCAUAGUCAAUAUAAGCUUGGAUGGUGGAAACUACUAGGUCUGGAGCAGAUCUGUAAAAUUUGCUUUGAAAACGAAACAUAAGAUUGGAUUUAUAGAUGGAUCCAUAUAUCCGCCUGACUUUUCUGAUGAUAAAUAUGCCAUAUGGGAUGCUUGCAACACAAUGGUCCUAUGUUGGAUCAUGAAUUCCUUGCAUCCAGAGAUUCGCAGAAGUGUGAUGAAUCAUGAGAAUGCUCAGAUCUUGUGGAAUGAGCUGAAAUCCAGGUUUGGACAGGCGAAUGCACUACGCCUAGCCAAUCUUCAAGAUGAAAUCCAUGCUUGCAAACAAGGUUAGAUGACAGUCACUCAGUACUACACUACCAUCAAAGGGUUGUGGGAGGAAUAUGGUCAAUUCUCCCCCAUUGUGGCAUGCACCUGCCUUCCUGGGAAUCCAAACAUCUGCCCUGCUGUUCUUGCCUUCCAAACUAAGCAGGAUAUAGACUACUUAAUUCGAUUUUUAAGGGGACUGAACAAUGAAUAUGAUGUGGUGAAGACUCAACUACUGAUGAUGAGGCCUCUUCCCUCAAUUACCUCUGCAUAUGACAGUGCUUUACAGCAUGAAGAGAAAUUGAGGGGAGGAGGAGCUAUCAGCAAGGAUUCAAUGCAUCCUAGUGCUUUUGCUGUGAAUACUGAUAGUUCAGGUGACUCUCCUAAGCAUGCCAUGGCUCUCCAUACAGAUAAGAAGCUAUUCUGCAAAUACGGUAGGAAAGAUAAUCAUGUAAUUGAGGGCUGCCUCAAGUUGAAGAACAAAAAGAAAAGGGAACAAGAGCAAAAGGCAGCUGGAGGAUAUGUGAAUCAAAAUGCGGGGAGGUUUGCUGGGAUGGUGGUUCAGGAGACUGAAUCAUGCAGCUCAGGAUCAUCAACCUCAGCCAAUGAUCCUAACUCAUUUACGCCAGAGGAAUUGCAGCAAUUAAGGACCCUCCUUCAACAAGUGGCAGGUUCACAGCACAAAGCACUUGCAGUCAGCCAUGCGCCUCCACAGUCCUCUCAUCACUCAGGUAUGUACACUCUGUCUGCUAGCACUGUCUGUUAGCACUAACUAUGAUCUAAUGACAACCUGGAUUCUGGACACUGGUGCCUCAGAUUAUAUCUGUUGCAACCUUCGAUAUUUCCUUAACUAUAAAGUUGUCAUUGGUGUCUAUGUCUACCUUCCAAACUCCACAAAAGUCUCAGUUAGUCAUAUAGGAUCAGUAAAACUUCCUUUCAGACUGAUCCUUCAUGAUGUUCUGCUGGUUCCUAGUUUUGGAUUCAAUUUGGUGUCUGUCAGCAAGUUAACUCAUGACUCUUCUGUGUCAUUGCUGUUUCAAUCCCAAACAUGUUUCAUCCAGGACCGUAUCACCAGCAGGACGAUUGGUUUGGCUACAACCAUUAAAGGUCUAUACCAACUUCAAGCUUAGGGUUCCACUUCAGGAUCCAAGAGCGUUCCUCUCCCUUCCCUUGCUCAGUAAUGCUAUUGCAUCUAAACCCUUUGAUCUGAUCCAUAUGGAUAUUUGGGGACCCUUGGCCACUGAGUCAUACAAAAAAUUCUCUUAUUUCCUCACCAUUGUUGAUGAUUUCUCUAGAGGGACAUGGAUUUACUUAAUGAAACACAAGUCUAAAGUUAGAUCCCUUAUUGAAUCAUUUUGCAACAUGGUUAAAACUCAGUUUGAGUCCGCUGUCAAAGUUAUUCGGAGUGACCAAGGCAAGGAGUUUGCCAUGACCAAAUUUUACCUAGAUCAUGGUAUCCUACAUCAAACAUCCUAUGUUGAAACCCCUCAGCAAAAUUCUCGUGUUGAACGUAAGCAUCAACACAUCCUGAAUGUUGCUAGAGCUCUGCAAUUUCAGGCAGGCUUACCUCUCCAGUAUUGGAGUGCCUGUGUUCUCCAUGCUGUUUACUUGAUUAAUCGUAUGCCUACUCCAAUUUUGAAACACUAGUCCCCUUUUGAACGCCUGUACAAUCGCACCCCUGACAUUACUUGUCUGAAAGUUUUUGGUUGCUUAUGUUAUGCUUCCACUCUAGCUGGCCAUAGGAAAAAAUUUCAACCUAAAGCUCGUCAGUGCUUAUUUCUAGGAAUUCCUGUUGGUGUCAAAGGUUAUCUGAUUAUGGAACUCAGCACUCAGCAUGUGUUCCUUUCCAAAUAUGUUGUUUUUCAUGAAACAUUUUCCCUUUUAAAGGAAUGUCUAGUUUAGCCUCACCCCCCAUAGUCAGUACUUCUCCUGAGUUCCUCCAUGAUCCAGAACUCAGGCAGCCUCAUGCAGAAUCGAGUCAGUCUGUCAAUCACUCAUGCCCUCCUCAAUCUUUUCGUGAUCCAGGUGUCAUUAGUCCUGGUUCUUUGCCUGCAUCAUUGAGUGUCCAGCCUAGUGAUGCUCAGGACUUGGAGACUCAUGAGCUUGAUGUGAUUGACGAUGUACCUGAGGAUGUUCCACAUCUGGCUACUCGUCAAUCCACUCGCAUCAAACGUCCUCCUACUUACCUGCAAGAUUAUCAUCUUGACUUAACCACUGCUAAGCAUGCACUUGCUGCAGUUGUCUGUUAUGAUCAUCUAUCUGCAGGUCACAAUAAAUUUUCCCUCAGUGUGAUCACCCUCCAGGAACCAAGGACAUAUAAAGAGGCUGCCCUUCUAGCUUGCUGGAUUAAGGCCAUGGAGGAGGAGCUUUCAGCCCUGGAGUCCAAUCAUACUUGGACUGUGGUUCCCAUUCCUCCUGGUAAGCAUCCUAUUGGUUGCAAAUGGGUCUAUAAGAUCAAGUUGAACGCUGAUGGUUCUAUUGAACGCCAUAAGGCUCGUUUGUUUGCUAAGGGAUUUACUCAGGUUUAUGGUGUUGAUUUUCUUGACACUUUCUCUCCCGUUGCCAAGAUAAAUUCUGUGAAAUGCCUUCUCUCUGUUGCUGCUGCUCAGAACUUUUUUUUUUGAAGUUCCAGCUGGAUAUUGCUGUAAGCUCCAGAGAUUACUGUAUGGACUUAAACAGGCUAGUCACCAAUGGUUUGCAAAGCUUAUAGAAUCCCUCUUACAACAUGGUUUUAGACAAUUUGGUGUUGACUACUCCUUGUUCAUAAAGGGACAAGCUGAUGACAUUGUUGUUCUUCUUGUGUACGUUGAUGAUAUCAUUUUAGCAGGAAGCAACCAGAAUGAAAUCGACCAAGUCAAGUCUUAUUUACAGAACAUGUUUAAGAUUAGGGAUCUGGGGCCAUUGAAGUACUUUCUGGGGCUUGAAAUAGCAAGAACCACUGCUGGAAUCUCUAUUUCCCAAAGGAAAUACUGUGUGUAUUUACUCACUGACACAGGUUUCAUUGAAGCAAAAGGAGCUAAGUCUCCAAUGGAUCCAGCUUUACACUUAAAGGCUGAUCAAGGAGACAAGCUUGAUGAUCCAAGCAGUUACAGACAACUGGUUGGACGUCUACAUUAUCUGACUAUCACUCGACCUGAUGUAGCCUUUGCAGUGCAACAAUUAAGUCAAUUUCAGAAUGCCCCUUGCAUAGGGCACAUGCAGGCUGCACACAGGAUACUCAGGUACUUAAAACUUGCACCAGGGCAAGGGUUGUUCUAUAAAGCUGGUUCUAGUGUUGAAAUGAGGAGCUACUGCGACUCUGAUUGGGCAUCUUGCCCUGACACUAGGCGUUCCAUUACAGGAUAUUGUACAUAUCUUGGGGACAAUCUCAUAUCCUAUAAGUCGAAGAAACAGUGCACUGUAUCUCGCUCUUCUUCUGAGGCUGAGUAUAGAGCAUUAGCACACUUAGUGUGUGAAGUCCAAUGGUUAUCUGGAUUAUUGGCUGAGCUUGGGGUUCAAGUCUCUACACCUAUUGCUGUUUACUGUGACAAUAAGUCUGCUAUCUACAUUGCUGAGAAUCACAUGUUCCAUGAGAGGACCAAACAUAUUGAGAUUGAUUGUCACGUAACCAGAGAAAGGAUCAAAACAGGAUUGAUCAAACUGCUGCAUAUCAGUAUUGAAAACCAAGUGGCAGAUAUAUUCACCAAACCACUUCAUCGUCGUCGUGUGCAUUACUUGCUUGGCAAGUUGGGAAUUAUUGACAUAUAUUCGCCAACUUGUGGGAGGCUAUCAAAUGAGAAGCAACAGACCAACCAUGGCCUGAAGCUCGAGGAAGAAGGUGAUGAAGUGUCGGACGAUGAAGACAAUGAAUUGAGUGACCAAGUUGUCAAUGAGUGAAAGUUGAGUGAUCAAUGUGUAACGCGAGUUGAGUGUUUUAAAUAGAACUGUGUCGUUUUGUUUUAGUAAGACGGAUGACUGCCACGUGUCGCAGUCAUACCUCUAUUCUUACCGUUUAAUUAGUUACCCUACAGUAAAACUGGAAGCUAAGUGUAUAAGUUGAGAAAUGAAGAAAUGAAAGAACUCAA
rnacentral:lncRNA from 1 species